rnacentral:rRNA from 1 species
UACAGAGGUCUCAAGCGUUGUUCGGAAUCACUGGGCGUAAAGGGUGCGUAGGCGGGUCUUUAAGUCAGGGGUGAAAUCCUGGAGCUCAACUCCAGAACUGCCUUUGAUACUGAGGAUCUUGAGUCCGGGAGAGGUGAGUGGAACUGCGAGUGUAGAGGUGAAAUUCGUAGAUAUUCGCAAGAACACCAGUGGCGAAGGCGGCUCACUGGCCCGGUACUGACGCUGAGGCACGAAAGCGUGGGGAGCAAACAGG